AUUGAACGCUGGCGGCAGGCCUAACACAUGCAAGUCGAGCGGAGUGGCGGACGGGUGAGUAAUGACUAGGAAUCUGCCUGGUCGUGGGGGAUAACGUCCGGAAACGGGCGCUUAUAUCGCAUCCUAUCUGCUGCGCCUAGGUCGGAUUAGCCAGUGGGUGGGGUAAAGGCCUACCAAGGAGACGAUCCGUAACUGGUCUGAGAGGAUGAUCAGUCACACUGGAACGGAGACACGGUCCAGACUCCUACGGGAGGCAGCAGUGGGGAAUAUUGGACAAUGGGCGAAAGCCUGAUCCAGCCAUGCCGCGUGUGUGAAGAAGGUCUUCGGAUUGUAAAGCACUUUAAGUUGGGAGGCGUUACCAACAGAAUAAGCACCGGCUAACUUCGUGCCAGCAGCCGCGGUAAUAC
rnacentral:rRNA from 1 species